rnacentral:lncRNA from 1 species
CCACGGACUGCUCAAACUAUUUCCUGGGGAAGCAUCGCUAUCUGCUUACCCUGUUUUUACUCUUCCCUGUGCAUCUGCUUUUGGCCGCUGAGACUGGAUAUAGGGCCAGGUGGACCUUUGGUCUGACUUGGUACAGCUGUUCCUAACAGUUACUUCACAACACUUCAUAAACGUACAGUUAGACAAAGUUCAUUGUUUGCAACACAUGACUUAGUCAGGACUUUGAUUUUUUGAGUUACAAAUGACUUCCAAAAGAGGAAAAAAAAAAAUAUUUAGGCUCUCUUCUGAUAUGACCCAGUUGUAUAAAACUGUAUAGAAAAGUGAGCAUUAGGCGCGGAUGUAAUGAAAAGCAAUAAGACUUAUAAAAAUCAUUCUUAAAAAUGUACCAAGCAUAAACAAAACAUGAUUUAUAAAUAGAUUUAGUUGUUCUAGUCAUCGUCGGAAUCUGAAUCAUAUUUCUUCCCUCUGAUGGUCUUCUUAUCCAACUUUGUAAAGCUUGUUCCAAAUUUCUUUUGGCUUUGAAAAGGUGGCUCCAUCAAGUUUCCACUGUAAUUAAUUAUAUCUGCACAGCCUAAUCUCCAUUCUAAGGUCUCUGUAGUGAAGUCAUCAGUGUUACCGAGAUCAGUGAAGCCAACAAUGUAGUCUUGUGUUUUUCCAUCUUUUAUUAGUGCUACAGUGGGAAUUACUUUGAUGCGCAGUCUCUCACACAAGAAAGGAGAUUUUUCUGCAUUUAGCUUCAAGAAUUUUGUCUCAACGUGUUUUUUUGCCAACACAGUCAAAUGCUUGUCCAUUAUUUGGCACCUGAAAGUUGUAUCUCUAUAAAAGUGGCAAACCACGUUUUUACUUUCUUUGACUUCUUGGAAAAAGUCUCUCUCACUUGGGAUUUCUCUGUAUUCUCCAUGUCCUUUAGAAAGCCACUCUUGUUUCUGCUGCUGGGCCUUUUUCAGUGCUUCAAGUCUCCUUUGUUUCAGGUGUUCCAACUCAUCUUCAUCCAUUUGGUCAAGCUUCUGCAUUUCAGCAUCCAGAUGUUCUUCCACCACCUUGGCAGUUUGAAGUAUUUCAUUCUCCAGAACUUUCUGAAGUAUUUCAACAGAUGUAUCAGCAGCCAUCUUUAAGUUUGAAGUGAUCUCCUCAGAGCGGCACAGGGAAGAGACAGAUCUUCAGGAGAGGGGCGGAGGCGAGCCCUGUACUGUUGGAACGCCGCCGCUUUGGCCCGCUCCGCCGGCGCCACUCCCCUCGCCUCACUCCCUCCCCGCCCCGUCACGCUCUGUCAGAGUCUCGCGAGAGCCAGAAUGGGUCACGGGAGGGGCGGGGCAAACUGUUUUUCUGCACGCUCAUUGGUCGGGACGGCGGACACGGAAGCGACGGAGACCAACGCGCGUGCGCCCUGCCCGAGCGGGUGGCGGCGGCGGGGAGUAGUGGGCGCGAUGGCCGUGGUGGCCGUUGGCGGGCGGUGUAACGGCUGCGGGGGGAGCUGAGGGAGCGGCCGCGCGCCUUCCGGGGGUCUCCCGCCCGGGGCGAGGCGUGUGGAGCGCGGCGGGAGCGUCACAACCGGGAGUUGCCGGUUUCGGCCCGCGAUCGUUGCCGUGAGGUGAGGGCGGCCCCAGGCGGUGCCUCCGCGCUCCGGGAGCGAGAGCUGUGGCUGCGGCAGCCCCGCUCAGGAGACCGUGCGUGAUCAGCGCGCGAGAAGAAGAUCCGCGGGUGCGGUUGAUGGGAUAUUAAAGUGUACUUAAAAAAAAAAAGCGUGGUGCUCUUUUUUGUUUCCUGGAAUUGUGACCGCGUCGCGCUGAGGUACGCGGCUCUGCCGCAGGUGGGGCGGGGAGAUAACGCUCGGAGCGCAGCGCAGCGCCCGCCUGCGGUACGGGGCUGGCGGCAGGAGGCGCGAGGCCGCCGCGCUCUGCCCUCCGGCCGGCAGGGGGCG